rnacentral:rRNA from 1 species
GACGAACGCUGGCGGCGUGCUUAACACAUGCCAGUCGAACGGAAAGGCGCUGCUUGUGUUGGGUGCUAGAGUGGCAAGCGGGUGAGUAACACGUGAGUAACCUGCCCUUGACGGUGGGAUAACGUCAGGAAACGGGGGAUAAUACAGAAGAGGAGCUCCUGCUGCAUGGUGGGGGAUGGAAAGUUGCGGCGGUGUGGGAUGGACUGUCGGGUUAUCAGUUUGUUGGUGGGGUAGUGGCUUACGAAGUCAUCGACGGGUAGCCGGCCUGAGAGCGUGGCCGGCCACCAUGGGACUACGGUACGGCCCAGUGUGCUACGGUGGGCAGCGGUGGCGAACCUUGCACAAUGGUCGCACGCGUGAUACGAAGGCGCCGCGUGCGUGAAGACGGCCUUCGGGGUGAGAACCGCUUUGGCCUGAUACGCAGCGUGAAUGACGGUAACGGAUGAAGAAGCACCGGCUAACUACGUG